rnacentral:rRNA from 1 species
UACGGGGGGGGCAAGCGUUGUUCGGAAUUACUGGGCGUAAAGGGCUCGUAGGCGGCCAACUAAGUCAGACGUGAAAUCCCUCGGCUUAACCGGGGAACUGCGUCUGAUACUGGAUGGCUUGAGUUUGGGAGAGGGAUGCGGAAUUCCAGGUGUAGCGGUGAAAUGCGUAGAUAUCUGGAGGAACACCGGUGGCGAAGGCAGGUCACUGGGCCGCAACUGACGCUGAGGAGCGAAAGCAUGGGGAGCGAACAGG